GAGAGCGCUGCCUCCGCUACGUGUAGGCGUACGUGUUGUGCAGGGCCGUGCCGUUAUGAAUUCAAACCUUCAAGCUUUAGAUGCACCCAAGAAGAACCAUCUUGAUCGUUACUGGUGCGGAAGUGAUGACCUUGGAGCGUUUUAAGUCGAAAUUGGUAUUUAGGUCAAUAGGUCUCAUAGCACAGGCUCAUGGUGACAUCUGGUGGUCAAUAGAGGAAGCGUUUGAUGUGUGUUUACUCGUUUCCUUGUUCCAGAGGGAAAGUUGCAAAGAACCGUUACACGAUCUUCAAUUCAAACGUCUCCUCUGCCAAAUACGUGGACAGACCUGCCCAUGAUGGGUGAAGGGGUGUAACGGAUCUUCACGAACUUUCGCGAAAUCUGGACUGGUUGGCCAUCCGGUGAAACGCAGGUUGAUAUAACUUAACCUUUUAUUACAAUGUGACUAUAUCAAACAAAGGUAUAUAUAUAUAUAUAUACAACCCAAAUACUAGUUACUAACGACAACAUAACAUUUCCUUAAUUUCUAUUUAGAAUUUGCAAUACCGAACUAGAGUCCUAAAUUAGAGUAAUCCUAACUUCUAAACUAGGAUCUAUAUAUAUAGAAUAAUAAAAGAAUCAAAGAUUUCUCACUUUAUACAAAGGAAUACAAAAUAGAAAAUGUGUAAAUUCGUCUUUACUUAUAAAUACCAAAUAAGAAUUUAAUUUCAUUAAUUUACCUCUUUUGUCCAUGGUCCUUUGACCAAUUCCGGAUUCACGACCUUCGCCCAUCUUUGCUGACACUGAACGUCACUUCUGUCUGGGAAAUGGCCAGCUAUGACAUCCCAUCGAAGUCCGGUCCCAAGCUGCUCGGCAUUGCUUACUAGCUGCUUCAACAGACCGUCCUGAAACCCAUCCAAAUGGAACAUAUAUUACACAUAGGUAGGAGCAAUGUAACGCUGUAAGGUGAUAACUUAAAACUUCACAUGCAAUGCAAGAUAUUUUAACAAACAUUACCCCGUCUUAAAACAGGUGCGUGCGAAGAGGACCAUUGACGAUUAAUUGAUAAGAUUUGCAAGACUUGCUGUGCUAAAUUCAUGUUAAUAAUUUUACUCGUGCAACGUACACUUCCGAUUUAAACAUUCGAGAAAGGCAUCAUUUUUAAUUAUGUUAAUUUUUGGAGGAUAUCUUUUAAUUUAAUAUCUGCAGUAUAAUUUUAUUUUUUUUUUUAAAUUGAAAGUUCCCAUUUUUUUGCAAAUUAAUGAGAUACGUUUUUUGUAAAAAAUAUUAUGCUAAAAGUGAAAAAAAAUGAUGUACAUAUGAAGAUGAAGCUUAAUUGCAACGUUAACCUUUUAUGA
rnacentral:misc_RNA from 1 species